UACGUUGGGAGCUAGCGUUGUUCGGAAUUACUGGGAGUAGAGCGCACGUAGGCGGCUUUUUAAGUCAGGGGUGAAAACCCGGGGCUCAACCCCGGAACUGCCCUUGAAACUGGGAAGCUAGAACCUUGGAGAGGCGAGUGGAAGUCCGAGUGUAGAGGUGAAAUUCGUAGAUUUUCGGAAGAACACCAGUGGCGAAGGCGACUCGCUGGACAAGUAUUGACGCUGAGGUGCGAAAGCGUGGGGGGCAAACAGG
rnacentral:rRNA from 1 species